UAUCUCUAUUUAGCAUUGCCCCUUUGCAUUUUAACACCAAAUUAUUCGAGAGAUCGGAUACAAACUUUCUCAUACGGGCUCUCAUGUUACCUGCCAGUUUUGGGGUAUAACGAUAUAACUGGUUGAACUUCAAUGUGUACUUCUCCAUGCUCAUUUUUCCUUAUUUAAAGUUCAUAAAUUAUUUAUCCUUUGAUUCCCUC
rnacentral:lncRNA from 1 species